GCAAGUCGAACGGUAAGAUCUCGCUUGCGAGAUACACGAGUGGCGAACGGGUGCGUAACGCGUAUGCAACCUACCUUCAACUGGAGGAUAGCCCCGAGAAAUCGGGAUUAAUACUUCAUAAUAUCCAUUUAUCACAUGUUAGUUGGAUUAAAGCUCCGGCGGUUGAAGAUGGGCAUGCGUGACAUUAGUUAGUUGGUGAGGUAACGGCUCACCAAGACCACGAUGUCUAGGGGGUCUGAAAGGAUGAUC
rnacentral:rRNA from 1 species